UACGUAGGGUGCAAGCGUUGUCCGGAAUUAUUGGGCGUAAAGAGCUCGUAGGCGGUUUGUUGCGUCGGCUGUGAAAACCCGGGGCUCAACUCCGGGCCUGCAGCCGAUACGGGCAGACUAGAGUUCGGCAGGGGAGACUGGAAUUCCUGGUGUAGCGGUGAAAUGCGCAGAUAUCAGGAGGAACACCGGUGGCGAAGGCGGCUCUCUGGGACGGUACUGACGCUGAGACGCGAAAGCGUGGGGAGCGAACAGG
rnacentral:rRNA from 1 species